UGCGCUGUCUACUGGGGAUCUGGUCUGCAACCCAGGCAUGAGCCCUGACUGGGGAUUGAACUAGAAGUACUCUGGUUUUCAGGGCGGUGCUCAAUCCACUGAGCCACAGCCAGAGUUUAAUUUUUCAGUAUGUGGAUUCCACUUGAAUAUCCUUUCAGAGCAUUACACUUAUAGGAAAACUCAGAGGUUUCCAUUUACUGUAGAGGAUACAGAGGUGAAUUAAGCCCAGGGUCCUGUCUGAGGAUUUCAGAGUAUUUUGGGUACAGAAUAUCUCUGUAGAGUAUGAGAGAGAUAGAGCUAAAAAGUUCAGAGAAUUUAGAGAUUCUCUCCUAGCAUCAGGAUUAUCAUUGAACAUUCUCAGCACUGUUGUGCAACUGAUUUUUUUUUCUUAAAUGAUAUGAUUGGUUUAUUAUUCCACUGUACUGUAGGUAUACCACAUGUCUUUUCAUUUGAAUUGGUAAGUUUUUCUAAUCUUAACUUGGUUCAGAAUGGUAAGAUCUUUUAGCUAACAUUUAUCUUUUUUGAGGAGUUUGAAGAGAGUCAACAUUGGUGAAUAGAAGUAUUCAACUGAAGUAAACAGGUUUUUGAAAUGUCCAGUAUAUGAAUAAUGAGAAUUUUGUUUAAUUACUAAAUAAUUUGAAUUAAUAGCAAAAGAUUUUAUUUAACUUGUUACUUUUGCUUUGUAACUUCUUAAUAUUUAGAGCCCUUUUAUAGAACCUGUCCUACAGUGUAACAUGAUUUUAUCUAUAUAUUUUUAAAUCCUUACCCAAGGAUGUGUUUAUUGAUUUCAAAGAGGAAAGGGGGUAGGGAGAAACAGACAGAUGACACAUCGAUGUGAGAGAAACAUUGGUUGCGGGAUUGAUCCCACAACCAAGGUAUGUACCCUGGUUGGGAAUUGAACCUGCAACCUUUUGGUGUACUGGAUGACACUCCAACCAACUAAGCCACCUGACCAGGGCAUGGUGAUUAUAGUUUUAAAAAUCUUUUGUAGGCCAAUCAAUAUCUAGUUAUCUUCUGUACUUCACAUUAAGGGCAAUAAGCUCUGGUAGUAUCACCUGAAAUGGCAGAAUUUUAUACCAGAUCACACAGAAUAGAUAUGAAUGUCAGUUUCCAUGUGUAGCUAUUAAUUAAACUACUAGUAAUGUAGGAGAUAGGGAUUUGAGUUUGUAAGCAUGCUCUGCUGAUGAAAUGUAUGUGUUUCUGCUUCAAAUUUCAAAUAAUUAAAAAUACAUGGGUAAGUUUGCGUCUUUUACUUAGGACAUACCUUACUAUAUUGUGUUUCAUGUUUCAAAUCCUUUCUGGUUGUAAAUUUGUCGUGUUUCUCACAAGAUGUUUCCUUGAUUUGGCAUAUUUUUUUUUUUUCUAAAUCCUCUUUUUUAAAAAUUAAUAUGCUUGUUAGAGUAGUUUCUCUUGUAAAAAACUUUGAAUUUUAUUCCAUUACCACUUAAAUAUUAUUUAAAAAUUGCUAUACAUAUAUUGAAUCUGUUGCUUUGAGUUAUCUACAUAGAAAAAUAUAUACUGGGACACAGUUUGAAAUACAUUAAGUUCAUUAAGAUAAUUUGCUUAAUAUCUAGUAUCACAAACAGAAGAAGAUACUCUCUAUUAAAUAUGUGUUUAAUUUUCCACACAUUAGAACACAUUGUUUGCUUCUUCCACUGUUUGCUUCUGUUUGUGGUACUAAGUUGGAAUAGUUUCGUAUGCAGUUUAUAUUUAUUCUUUGGCUUCAUCUUUCGUACCUUAAUCUGGCCAGGCAUGAUAGUAGUUUUGACUUUGAUGAGAAAAUAUACUGGUAAGGGGUUGGUAAAAAAGUGCAAACUAGUCUCUAGUGUUAUGUGAGGUUUGGUUUGAUACUAUAUUAUAAAGUUCUGUGUUUGUGUUAUAGCUGUGAUACUGUUAUUGAUACCAUUGUUGCUGAUUUACAAUUUCUAUUUAAAAGUCGUCUGAGUUUGGGAUAAAAUAACUAAAUUUGAAGACUAAUUCCUAAUCAAUAUCAUUUUUUAAAACA